rnacentral:rRNA from 1 species
GACGAACGCUGGCGGCGUGCUUAACACAUGCAAGUCGAACGGAAAGGCCCUGCUUUUGUGGGGUGCUCGAGUGACGAACGGGUGAAUAACACGAGAGUCACCUGCCCUAUCCUUCGGGAUAACUUCAAGAAACUGGGGCUACUACCGGUUAUUAGCGCCUGCUGCAUGGUGGGGGUUGGAAAGUUUCGGCGGAUGGAGAUGGACUCGCGGCUUAUCAGCUUGCUGGUGGGGUAGUGGCUUACCAAGGCUUUGACGGGUAGCCGGCCUGAGAGGGUGACCGGCCACAUGGGGACGGAGAUACGGCCCAGACUCCUACGGGAGGCAGCAGUGGGGAAUAUUGCACAAUGGGCGGAAGGCUGAUGCAGCAACGCCGGGUGCGGGAUGACGGCCUUCGGGUUGUAAACCGCAUUCGCCUGUGACGAAGCGUGAGUGACGGUAAUGGGUAAAGAAGCACCGGCUAACUACGUG